ACCUGCCCUGGCCCACCCCGCGAGACGGACAGGACUUUAUUUUGGGUCACAUUUGAGAUACUGACUGGGCUUGCUUUGCUCAGCCCCCCUCAACCUCCCUCAUUCCCAGCCUCUGCAGUCCCGACCUCCCUCAGUCCCAGGGGGGCUCCCUAGGGCCGCCCCCAUCCCCCGCUGCGGGCCGCGGGACAAGGACGAUGACUCGGCAGAUCUCUGGGCGGGCGCGGCCAGGAACGCUCGAGAACUUUCCAGGGGAGACACUGCAGAGGAUCUGGGUGUCCAGGUUAAAUUUAGAAAAGAGAGGCGGAAACACCACGCAGCUUUUUUAAACUAUCUGAGCUGGAAUACAGGGCUGAGCGGACAUCUUUCUAGACUGUUCUUUCACCUUCCUGCACAUUCUGAGGGCCGGAUAUGGAAAGGUCCUACUUGGUGGCAACAGGGAGACAUGGAAAUUUCUCAGGUUUCAAUGGGUAUGAUUAUUGUAAUCAGGAUCCAUUCAAUAAUCAGACCCAUUUUUAACCCGGAGAUUUUGAAAGACAGGAAGGCCGGGCAUGGUGGCUCAAGCCUGUAAUCCCAGCACUUUGAGAGGCUGAGACGGGUGGAUCACCUGAAGUCAGGAGUUCAAGACCAGCUUGACCAAAAUGGUGACACCCCGUCUCUAUAAAAAUAAAUACAUAAAUAAAAAAAGACAGGGCCGGGCGCGGUGGCUCAAGCCUGUAAUCCCAGCACUUUGAGAGGCUGAGACGGGUGGAUCACCUGAAGUCAGGAGUUCAAGACCAGCUUGACCAAAAUGGUGACACCCCGUCUCUAUAAAAAUAAAUACAUAAAUAAAAAAAGACAGGGCCGGGCGCGGUGGCUCACGCCUGUAAUCCCAGCACUUUGGGAGGCCGAGAAGCGUGGAUCACGAGGUCAAGAGAUCGAGACGAUCUGGUCAAUAUGGUGAAACCAGUCUCUACUAAAAAUCAGCUGGGCAUGGUGGCGCGUGCCUGUAGUCCCAGCUACUCGGGAGGCUGAGGCAGGAGAAUUGCCUGAACCCAGGAGGCGGAGGUUGAGGUGAGCCGAGAUCGCGCCAUUGCACUCCAGCCUGGGUAACAAGAGGGAAACUCCAUCUCAAAAACAAAAAAAAAAAAAAAAAAGAAUAAAAUCCCAGCCCUAUUUCGGGGCGGGGGGAGAAGAAAACUAAGUAUGCAAAUAUGAAAUGUAAUCGUACAGGGCAAAUCUAUUUUGAUAAAAGAAGUGGGAGAAAAGAAUCACCAGACAGGUUUUUAAAUUUUUACCACAACCUAUUUCGUGAUCCUUAUGUGUCAUUUCUUCGGCAUAUUUUUUAAAUGUUUUAAAAUAUAAGAACAUCGUGAGAUUUUUUUUAAAUAGAUCUUUUUUAAGUGUGCCAUGAAAAGUCCCCCUCAUGCCCUCAAUUUCCCAGCCACUGUUCCUUCUGGACUCUUCUAGAAAUAGUUCCUGCUUCUACAAUGUAUUGGAGGUAGGGAGGCUACUUUGAUUUCUACCUUGUAGCCUUCAAAAAAAAGAAAAAGAGGCUACUUCCUGAAAAUGUUUUGCCGUUAGGAAAAGGCUAGAUUCUUUUUUUUUUUUUUUUUUUUUAAAUACGGGGUUUCACCAUGUUGUGGUCAGGCUGGUCUUGAACUCCCGACCUCAGGUGAUCCGCCCGCCUUGGCCUCCAAAGUGCUUGGAUUACAGGCGUGAGCCACCACGCCCGGCCGAACAUUAUGUUAUUUAAAUGUCACUUAAAAUAUGCAUCGAAGCAAAAUGAACCUGCUAUAUAUUUUCUCUGGUAACAUGUUUGUAUUUAUGAAAAUGCAAGUUCUGUGCAUUGUUCAAAUAGGCUUUGACAUCUCUAAUUUUUAACAUUUUAGAGAGAAUGAAUUUCUGUGUUGCUGGGAAAUUAAAUGAUAAAAGUGUCACUUUCCAGGCUUGGCAGGAUACGCCAGUGAUUUCCAAUACACGUUUCUGCUAAGUUUUUGUUUUUUGUUUUCCCCUAGGUUUCGGGAAGGAGUUUUGAAAGGAAUAAAAAAAGCUGAGAUUCUGAGAUUCUUUCUGACGUGACCAGGCCUGGCUUUCAACCACGCCCUGUUUGCUUUCGGCUGUGACCCUGCUGCAAGCCUUGUGAUUCAUGUUGUUUAAAGGCUGAGUCACCAGCUUGGUGACAUAGCUUUUUUCAGAGUCCAAAAGAGAGGAGGGUUUUGCACUUUGGGAGGCUGAAGCACGUAGAUCACCUGAUGUCCGGAGUUCCAGACAAGAGACAGGAUCUCCCUUUGUUGCCCGGGCUGGUUUCAAACUCCUGGGCUAAAUUUGCUCUACUCUCGCUUCAUGCCUCCCGAAGUGCUGGGAUGAUAGGUCUGAGUCACUGAGUCCAGCCACCGUGUUUUGCUUUCAGUGAUAAAAUACAGAAACGCAGUGGAGGUGAAAGCAACUCCAUCUUGGAUGCUAAUCUGCCAAGGUAACUUCCAAUUAAUGCCUCUUCCAGGAAGGCUUCUAAGAUUUCUACUUCACUUUUACCGUAAAUUCUGCGCUUAGAUCAGGACAACCUAGAUCAUAAAUCCUGCCCCUAGGCAGAUUCACAUAACAUGCUUGCCUUUGCCUGAGGGUUCGACUUCAGUUAUCCUCCGUAUUCUUUCCCUAUGGUAUGUAUAGAAGCCCUGGAUCUGGGGGUUAUGGCGCAGCAAACCUCAUAUCCUCUGAUGGCCACUUAGAUUAUGGCUUCUGUUGAUAAGUCCCUAAUAAAUGUUUCUUUCUGAGAAACUGGGGUUGUCAGCCCCUUUCUUUGGCCUCUCAGCUCCCUUGGCCUUUGGGGGUAGGUUCGCAUAGGCCUGCUCACCCCGGAACACAGCAUAUGAAUAUAAAUGUAAAUCAUACGUGCAAUUAAGCCACUGGUUUGUCGUAUCCAUGGAGAUGUGUUGCUGAGGAAGCAGAGGGCAGAGCCCCGCUGGGAUGAGAGUUUGCUUUUGGGUUCCUCCCAUGCAAACGAGGUGGUUAGUGGCAGUGCAGAGGAGUGAGAUGGCAAACAGGGGGGCCCAGACCUUCCAGCCACUUACACACUUGCCCUCUGAUGGCCAGAAAUUCGUCAAAGCCCUCCGGGCCAGUGCAUUGCCAUCACAGUGGCACAGAUGUGGCGUAAACUCCCCAGCUGAUCAUCCUGCUCACUUUUGCUGUGGUUUCAAUCAUUGAGUCUGGUUUUGCCUUAACCCUUUUCUGCUGAUUACUCCCAUCAGCCUUUUCUAGUUCACGUGCAUUGAAAACAUUAGAGAUUUGAGAAUGGGAAGAUCAUGCCUGGUGUGAAAAUCUGAGCUCCAAGUAAUACCUGGAAUCAUAAUACUUAUAGUAAUCACAUCCAUGGCACGUUAUUGACAAAGAACCGCGGGCCAAAAUGAAUAGACAAGUCAGCAAAACCACAGUGGAGAUGCCGGGGAUCGAACCCGGGGCCUCAUACAUGCAAAGCAUGCGCUCUACCACUGAGCUACAUCCCCCUCCUUUUCCAUGGUGCUUUUGAAAGGCUUUGCUAUAGUCUAUUCUUAAAGAUGUUUUCGUGUUUCUGUGUUUUACUUUUAUUUUUGGCUUUUAUAAUCGUUUUGACACAUAACAAUCGUGCACAUUCAUGAGGUGUGGUGUGAUGUUGUGAUCUAUGUACACAAUUUGCAAUGUUCAAAUCGGCAGUGACCACAUCCAUCCCUUCAGAUGUAUCAUUUGUGCUGGGAGACAUUACGACUCCAUGCUUCCAGCUAUUUGAAAUGUACAGUAAGUUGUUGUACUCACCCUUCGGGGACACUGGAACUUACCUCCUAUUUAGCUGUACUUUCGCAUCCCGUAACCCGCCUUUGGCUGCUCCCACCUCCUCACCCCUUCCCCGCCUUCAUAACUACUAUUCUGCUCUCCACUUCUGUGAGACCUGCUAUUUCGGCUUCCGCAUGUGAGUGAGAUCAUGCAGUAUCUAUCUUUCUGUGCCUGGCUUAUUUCACUAUGUAAUGUCUUCCAAACUUACCCAUGUUUUUAUUUUUGUUUGUAGAGGAAAAAUGACAGGAUUUCAUUUUGUUGCGUUUUUGUUUUUUUUUUUUUAAGGUCGAGUAGUAUUCUACUGUGUAGGUACACCACAUUUUCUCUAUCCAUGUAUCUGUUGACGGAUACUUGGGUGGAUUCCACGUGUAGCUCUUGUGAACAAAGCUGCAAUACACAUGGGAGUGCAAACGGUUUUUAGUUUUUUGUUUGUUUGUUUUGAGACGGAGUCUGGCUGCCACCCAGGCCGGAGUGCAGUGGCAUGAUCUUGGCUCACUGCAACCUCCCCCUCCUGGGUUCAAGCGAUUCUCCUGCCUCAGCCUCCCAAGUAGCUGAAACUACAGGCGUGCACCACCAUGUCCGGCUAUUUUUUGUACUUUUAGUAGAGAUGGGGGUUUCAGCAUAUUGGCCAGGCUGGUGUCAAACUCCUGACCUCAGGUGAUCCUCCUGCCUCGGCCUCCUAAAGUGCUAGGAUUACAGGUAUGAGCCACUGCGCCCAGCCAAGGUUUUUUCCUAAAUAAAACUUUUGUGUGUUUAAGUGAAUGUUAGAGUUUAGCAAAAGCACAACAAAAUAAAUUGUUUUAUGUUUCCCAAGUAGGUCAGCUCUUCAUAACCUUGCAACUAAAAUUCUAGCAGAUACCGCAACCAAGGAACUAAUGAAAACUGACCCAUUCUUUUUUUCUUUUUUUGAUUUGAGACAGAAUUUUGCUCUGGUUGCCCAGGCUGGAGUGCAAUAGUGUGAUCUCAGCUCACUGCAGCCUCCACCUCCCAGGUUCAAGCGAUUCUCCUGCCUCAGUUUCCCAAAUAGCUGGGACUACAGAGGGUUUCUUAGGCACACCAGGGGAGAGAGGCCACAGUGUUUAGUGUCCUUCAGGUCAUCAAAAGCCAUUCCAUGGGGAAAGAGUGGGUGAAGAGCUUAGAGACGGCAGAAAACUGAAGGGUAUGCCUCUUUCCAUCAGCCUUGAGAUUUCUUGGCUGGAAAAUAGACGCUUACUGUGAUAAGGAAACCCUACCUCCAAAAUGUUCUGCCACGUCAUUCUCCAUAGUUCCCUGACAGUUGCUGGUACCUAAAACUCUUCCCAGUCAAAGGCCAUGCAGAAUUGUCAGGAAGUGCUGGCCACAGCAGCUGAGAUUGCAUCGCCUAACCUCUGGGCCUCAUCUGUGAAACAGAGAUUUGAAUGCACUUACCUCACCUGCUUGUUGUGACAAUUUAAUGAGUUACACAUAAAACAUGCAUAAGACUGUCUGGUCUCUGCUCAGAAAGCACAGGUUCUGAGCCGGGUGGAGUCUGUAAUCCCAGUGCUUUAGGAGGCUGAAGUGGGAGGAUUGCUUGAGCCCAGGAGUUCAAGACCUGCCUGGGAAACAUAGUGAGACACCCCACUCCAGCCCCACUGGGGAGGCUGGGGCAACAGGAUCUCUUGAGUCUGGGAGGUCAAGGCUGCAGUGAACCACGAUUGUGCCACUGCACUCCAGCCUGGGUGACAGAGUAAGACCCUGCCUCAUAAAUAAAUACCUAAAUAAAUAAGGCCAGAUCUGGUGGUUUAUGCCUGUAAUCCCUGCACUUUGGGAGGCUGAGGCAGCCGCCUCAGGAUCACCCGAGGUCAGGAGUUCGAGACCAGCCUGACCAUUAUGGUGAAACCCCAUCUUUAAAAAAAUAAUAAUAAUUUUAAAAAAAAGGAAUGACCUUAAGGCAAGAUGCUUUAAGCCCUCUGUCAUGCCAGUGUAAGGGCUGCUGGAGGGCUCCUCAACUGUGCGGCAGCGCCGGCGCUGGGAAAGCGCCUGCUAUUUAGCCAGCUAGGGAAGGAGACGACCAAGAUGGCCGAGACGUCUCCUUCCUCGGGGGAGUUAGGAGAAAACUCCGUUCCUCCAAGCUCUUGCGGUAGGCCUGACACUGUCAGGGAGGCCCGCAGACAUCUGGGGACUUAACUCUCUCUAUGUGAUGCUGUCCUUCAGUGGUCACGCUCCCUGUCCACUCAUGCUCUGCUUCUGCACCUGGUUCCCCUUUUCUUAGAAGAGAUAAUCAGUAAAAUAAUAUAAAUCUUAAUGUCUUUGCUCUUUCCUAACAAGAUGGAAAGUGACCUCAGGUGACUCACCCACCUCCACCUCCCAAAGUGCUAGGAUUACAGGCCUAAGCCACCACGCCCAGCCAGGGUCAUUCCUUUCACAGUGUCACUCCAGGUUCACACUUCACAACCUGAAUGGCAUUAGUAAAAAAAACUAUGAUCACCUAUGAAUAACUAAGAUCUCCUAUGAAUAACUAAGAUCGCCUAUGAGUAACUAAGAUCUCCUAUGAGUAACUAAGAUCUCCUAUGAGUAACUAAGAUCUCCUAUGAGUAACUAAGAUCUCCUAUGAGUAACUAAGAUCUCCUAUGAGUAACUAAGAUCUCCUAUGAGUAACUAAGAUCUCCUAUGAGUAACUAAGAUCUCCUAUGAGUAACUAAGAUCUCCUAUGAGUAACUAAGAUCUCCUAUGAGUAACUAAGAUCUCCUAUGAGUAACUAAGAUCUCCUAUGAGUAACUAAGAUCUCCUAUGAGUAACUAAGAUCUCCUAUGAGUAACUAAGAUCUCCUAUGAGUAACUAAGAUCUCCUAUGAGUAACUAAGAUCUCCUAUGAGUAACUAAGAUCUCCUAUGAAUAACUAAGAUCUCCUAUGAAUAACUAAUAACUACUACGGUUAUGUUUCUAGUUACUUUCUUCUUCAUUAUAUGCAAAUAGGCUGAGGCUUCUAGCUCCUGCCUCAGCAUUUAUAGGGUCUUCCCUCUACAGGCUUGGUGGAACAUGCCUGUAAUCCCAGCUACUUGGGAGGCUGAGGCAGGAGAAUCACUUGAACCUGAGACGUGGAGGUUGCAGUGAGCCGGGAUCCCACCACUGCACUCCAGCCUGGGCAACAAGAGCAAAACUCUGUCUCAAAAACCAAAACCAAAACAAAUAAAUAAAUAAAUGAAUAAAUACGAAAGCAGGGACUCCGAAAUGUGAGUCUGGCUGUUGCAAAUGUGUUAUCGUAGAACUCUGCUGGAGGGCAGUUGCUUCUGUUCAGCCCCGGGGUGAUGCUUUAUUGACAUGUUUUGGGGAGAUGGGGGAGAGCAGGAGGGCAGUGGGGAGGUGAGGAAUGGGGCCACUUUGUAAACCAUCUUCCGACCUCAUUCCUCUAGCCUAAGUGGGAACCACGGGAGAUACCCUGGCAGCAGAAAAGCAGGAUGGCACCCUAGGUGGCAUUAUUAAUUUUGUUUGUUUGUUUUGAGAUGAAGUUUUGCUCUUGUUCCCUAGGCUGGAGUUCAGUGGUGAGAUCUUGGCUCACUGCAACCUCUGCCUCCCGGGUUUAAGCAAUUCUCCUGCCUCAGCCUCUGGAGUAGCUGGGAUUACAGGCAUGUGCCACCACGCCUGGGUCAUUUUUGUUUUUAGUAGUGAAAGGGUUUCUCCAUGUGGGUCAGGCUGGUCUCAAACUCCUGACCUCAGGUCAUCCACCCACCUAGGUCUCCCAAAGUGCAGGGAUUACUGGCAUGAGCCACCGUGUCCGGCCUUGUAGGUGGCAUUAUUUUGGACAUGGCAGAGGAGCAAGGUCACAGGUUGUACUCAGUCCGAAGGUGCCCCUGCUUCCUCUUGUGCCCACCCACCUGGCUGCCAGAGGGCACUGCUCAGAAAAAACCUGAUUGUCUCUGCAUGAAACUCUCAGAAUCAAAUGCACACCUCCUGUCCUCCAUAUCCUUUCAAGAUACGAUGUAAUCCGGUUCUGACUUCACCUUUCUGCCCCCUCCUCCCUCUCUCUCUCACAGCAGCCUCCUCACUGUUUCUUCCCAGGGCCCUGGCACUUCCUGCUCCCUCUGCCUAGAAUGCUGCUCCCAGCUCUUUUGAUUGACUCUUUCUCAUUGUCCAGGUUCUGGUUCAAAUGCCACCUCCUCAGAAGGGCCUGUCUGCCCACCUCUCUGUUUGUUUUUUGAGACAGAGUCUAGCACUAUCACCCAUGCUGGAGUGCAGUGUCGCAGUCUCGGCUCACUGCAACCUCUGCCUCCUGGGUUGAUGGGAUUCUCCUGUCUCCACUUCCCGAGUAGCUGGGAUUACAGGCACACACCACCACAUCUGGCUAAUUUUUUGCAAUUUUUUUUAGAAAUGGGGUUUCACUAUAUUGGCCAGACUAGUGUUGAACUCCUGACCUUGUGAUCCGCCUCCCAAACUGCUGGGAUUACAAGCCUGAGCCACCACACUCAGCCUUGACCUCUAAAGGAGCCUGUGAAUCCCACUCCCUAUCCCAUGCCUCUGGUUUGCCGUUUGUUUCUUCAUGACAGUUACCCAUUUUAUCCUAUUUGUUCAAUGCCAGGUCCUUCACUAGGUGGUAAUCUCAACAGGGCAGCACCUUCUCUGUCUUGGUGCCUAGAACAGUGCCUGGCACACAAUAGGUACUCAGUAAACAUUUGUGAAAUGAAUAUGAAAAGUUAAUAAAGAUGAGCCCCUGGAAAGGUGAUCGCUGUGCUCAGGAAGCUGAGUCUGCCACUGCAUAAAGACAAGAAAACAUCUCAAAUCUAUCAACAUUUUCCAAGGGCCCUGACUUGGGGCUUGAGCAAACCCUAAGAUGGAAGCAGAAGGAGCAGUUCCUGGCCCCAGAAGUUGAUAAUCUUAUUCUGAGAAACUGUUACAUAAACCAAACACUUCGCAGCAGGGGUGCAAGAAAUGGAUGAACACUUCCGCAUGUGAGCACCGCCUUUUUCUUGCUUUCCUGUGACUGUGUGACAUGCAGCAAAGCCACAGACAACCACAGAACUGAGUCCCAUUCACCUGCUGGGUUUAUUCUUCUAGGAAGGGUGAAGAAAAAUACAAAUGAACACUAAAAGUUGUCAUUAGCCUCCCCGUCGGGGAAUCGAACCCCGGUCUCCCGCGUGACAGGCGGGGAUACUCACCACUAUACUAACGAGGAGUGGCCUUGAUGGAGUCUUUUCAAGGGACUCCCUUAAGGUAAAUGUAGCUUUCGCUAAACAACAUGUUGCAGAGAAUUAAAUAUCCUACAUUUCCCACAAAACAACUAGUCCAACUUGACUUCAUGCCGUUUUAAGGCGAUCAUCUCCUGCUCGGUCUUCGAUUUUGCUGUGAGAGUUCAGAAAACAGACAGUAAAAAACAGGAAAAAAAUGAACAGACAGGCAUCAACAAACAUGAACAGAGAUUAGAGAAUGCGAAUUUGAGACAGAAAGGAGGAGAAGACGGGAAAAACUUGACCUUAGCUGAUUUACCCAAACCGGAAGUGGUGGGGAAAUUUCCUUUUCCUCCAGCUCCUCGGGGCUUUCUUAAAUAUAAAAAGUGAAAGCUCUUUAUUAAUUGGAAAAAAUCGGCUUCAUUUAUGUACUUUCUUUUUGGUUUUGGCCUAGGAAAAAGGGAAAAGUAGAACUGCCGAAACCCGGGAUCGAACCAGGGACCUUUAGAUCUUCAGUCUAACGCUCUCCCAACUGAGCUAUUUCGGCAGCUGUUUCAGCUGAGCUGCGCUUUUAUCCUCCUGGUUGUUUUGCCGCCCCGGGUCUUCUGCCCACCUGAAGCUGAAGCUGGGAAUGCAGGUUCACCAGGGCCCGCGUGUGGUGGCCUCUGUCUGCCAAGGCCACCACCUCCGAGAAGCCUUCUCUGAUCACAUCUCCUGACAAGACCCAGCCCUUACUGUUUAUUGUUAGCUUUACUGUUUUCCUUGUUGACUGACCGACUGAAUGAAUGAAUGAAUCCUAUCAAGCUCAGAGCUCGGCUUUCUCAAGCCCCCUUCUCUGCACAAAGGAAAAAGGUCACUCCCUGGGCGCAGCUCGAGGCGUGCCAGGGAUGCCAACCCCACCAGGCCUGCGGGAGGACGUGUCAUUUGGAACGCAGUGUUCCUCGGGCCAGGAGUGACUCAGAUCCGGCCUCUGAGCGUGGCCUCCAUGCUUGUGCGCACCUGCUCAGCUUCCCGGCAGGAAGACGUCAACAGGUCGGCAACUAGGCUGGGCUCUUCGCUUUGGGAAGUGGGCGGUGGGACGGUGCAGCUGUCAUCCGGGAGAGAAUGAGGAAGUGCAGAGGUGCCUCAUGACCUGAAGUCAUUCAGUAAGUGUUCACCGAGCACUUAGUGACCGUUUGACCCAUCAACGAAUACAAUCACAGGCAAGCUGCGGUGGCUCAGGCUAGAAUGCCAGAGCUUUGGGAGCCUCCUUCUUCUGCGAAUCCCAGGUAGAAGAAGAAUCGCUUGUGGGUAGGGGUUCGAGACCAGCCUAGGCAAAAUAGUGAGCUCCCCAUCUCUACCCCCACCCCUGGGCCAAAAAAAGCCAAAUACACUAACAAAAUAAGUCCAUAUAAUAGAAAACGCUAAGAAGAAAAAUAAAUACCUGCACCGUGGGGUCAGCAAGAGAAGGGAAGAUCGAACAAGACUGAAGAGCCAGCCAUGGGAAGACCUGGAGGAAGAGCAUCCCAGGUGGAGGGAACAGCUAGUCCAAAGAUCCUGAGGUUGAAACAAGCUUGGCUUGUUGGAGGGACAAAAAAAAGUCGUGAUGGAAGAGGUAGAGAGGAGGAAAGAAAACAGGAAGGUCUGAGUGGUGGACAGAGACUAGAUCUUGCCAUCUUUGGAGGCACAGGAGAGGAGCCUGGAUGCUCUGGGUCUUGGAAAGCCAUGGGGGAGUGAGACGAUUGACAUCUGCAAAGUCGCUCUGGCAGGAAGUCCGCAAGGAGGCAGUUGGAGGUGUUGAUGAAGGGAUGAAUUUGAGACAGGCUUCGGAAGGAGGGUGGGAGGAUUUGAUAGAUUUCAUAUAGGGAAUGGGGAAAGGAAGGGGUGAAGGAUGACACCCAGCGGCUCUCUGGGCUACUGGAUGGAUGGUGGACACUUCUUUUUUUGAGACGGAGUUUCGCUCUCGUUACCCAGGCUGGAGUGCAAUGGCACGAUCUUGGCUCACUGCAACCUCCGCCUCCUGGGUUCAGGCAAUUCUCCUGCCUCAGCCUCCUUAGUAGCUGGGAUUACAGGCACGCACCACCAUGCCCAGCUAAUUUUUUUUUUUUUAGUAGAGACGGGGUUUCACCAUGUUGACCAGGAUGGUCUCGAUCUCUUGACCUCGUGAUCCACCCGCCUCGGUCUCCCAAAGUGCUGGGAUUACAGGUGUGAGCCACCACGCCCGGCCCCGGUGGACACUCUUGCCCGAGGGCAGGUGCCUCAGGGUGAGUAAGGAAAUCCAGCCUUCUGUCACAGGCAUGUUAUGUUUUGACCUGCCCAUUAGACUUCCAAAUGGAAGCACUGGGUCAGCCAAUUUCCUGAACUUCCUGGAGCAAACCAGAGUCCCCUUAAGGGUUCUCAAACCUGGUGUCAUGGGCUGAAUUCUAUCACUCCAAAAUGUGUAUCUUGAAGCUGUAACACCCAAUUCCUCAGAAUGUCACCAUAUUUGGAGACAGGGCCUUUAAAAAUGAGAUUAAGCUGAAAUGAGGUCAUUAGCGGAAGCCCUAAUCCACUAUGAGUGCUGUCCUGGUGAGAGGAGGAGAUUAUGAUUGGGACACAGACACAGGCGCAGGAGGACCACCAUGUGAGGACAUGGGGGCGGGGGCGUGGGUGGAGAGGUAGCCAUUCGAAAGCCCUGGAGAAACCAAGCCUGUCAGCACCUAGGUUUUAGACUUCCAGCCGCCAGAAAAGUGAAAAAAUACAUUUCUGUAUCUCUAGCCCCUGAGCCUAUGGUAUUUUGUUAUGGCAGCCUGAGAAGACUAAUACACCUUCCAACCUAACACUCACUGUGGCUGGAUUUUCCGGAAGAGUGGAAAGAUUUCACAUUGCUUCCCUUCUGAGAUUCUUCACUCCCUUCCUGUCAAGAAUAGAGCCCCUUCUGAAGAUCCCUCUGCAUAAGUAUGGCAAAUGGCCUUUGGGGAGCCCAGCAUUGCGUAUUCAUUUCUGGGUAUCAGGUCUGGCUAGAUCCAGCUCCAAAUAGCUAGGCCAGCAAUGCAGCACAUCCAGCUCCGAGCCUGUGAGAGGAGGAGUGGGAUUUAGUGUCCGUCCGGAUUUUCAGUUGACAGCAAUCCCAAAGCAAGAUGUGUGUUUUGCAAAUGUGUGUUGCUAAAGGACUUGAGGAGGGAAAACUGGAGUCUCAUGACAAUUGUUCAUUUUUUUUUUUGAAAAGUUAAAAAUUCCUUAAUUUUUUAUUUCUGGUACCACUACCAUGGUUUACAGGGCAAUAUACCUGAUGUCAUGAAAAGCAAAAGCAAAAGACAAAGCUACAACAGAUGAAAGGCCUCAGGAACGUACAUGUAAUUGACACUACAUUGGGUCAGUCAACAGCUGCACUUUUUGCAAACUGAGGCAGUGACAGUCCUGAACGAGAAGGGUUUCCUGUUCAAGCUGCAGUCACUUUUCUGACCAUGGAUCAUCGUCCUUCUGUGGCAGAGUCUUACAGGUCAUCUAAUGCAUUUGGGACGACCGUCUCGAAGUAACCUCAGCUUUCCCGACAGCUCCUCGCUCUCCCUCCUGCUAAGAACUGGAGCCUUGUCUGCUGUUUUUAGAACCUUCUGCCACCACAUCCACCACUUCCACCACCAGGUCCAUAACCACCGCCAUAGGGACUGCCCCUUUUUAUGGGUCCAUAAUUUGAUUGCUCUUGUCCACUAUAAUUUCCAAAAUCAUUGUAGCUCCCACCACCGCCAUAGUUACCACCGCCAAAAUUUCCUCCUUCAUUGUAACCAUCAUCUCCUCCACCACCGCCACCAAAUCCACUACCUUGGUUUCCAUGUCCUGGCCCACCACCACCAUAGCCCCCUCUACUACUAUAACCGGGACCAUUGCCAUAGUUACCACCAUCACCAAAUCCAUUAUAUCCACCAUCACCUCCUCCAUCACCACCUCUGCUGCCACCACCUCCACCUCCAUAACCUCCUCUUCCACCAAAGUUUCCACCGUGGCCAAAAUUACCUCCACCACCUCCAAAGUUUCCUCCACGACCCAUAAAAUUGCCAGAUCCGGGAGUUGGGGAGAGAUAGCAUGGGGAGAAAUGCCAGAUAUAGGUGAUGGGGAGGAAGGCAGCACAUCACACUGCCAUGUGUGUGCCUAUGCAACAAUCUUGCAUGUUCUUCACAUGUACCCAAAACCUAACAUGCAAUAAAAAAAAUUUUAUCAUAGAUACAAAUGUCACCUGUUUUCUAGAAAAAAAUACUAAAGACAACUUAAUGGGAAAAAAAAUUGCCAGAUCUACGUCCACAGCCUCUCUGUGGUCCAGCAGACUGCACCUCUUGUUUAGAAGGGCCCAGUAACAGUGUGGUGUUUCUGAACAACAGUUUUAUCAACUGCAUCAUGAUCAUCAAAACUUACCAAAGCAAUUCCUCUUCUUUUUCCACUCUGCCUGUCUUCCAUAACUUCUAUGGUUUCAAUCUUGCCAUACUUUUCAAAGUCGUCUCUCGAAUUAUACUCUUCUGUAUCUUCUGUAAUAGCACCAACAAAAAUCCUCUUCACUGUUAGAUGGGGCCAGGCUUUACAGAAUCCGCUCUCGAAACAGCUCACUUUCGUUCCACUACACGCCCAUCAGCACACGUCGCCGCAUCCGCCUCUUCAACACAAGAAUAAGUCACAAAACCAAAGCCCCUGGAACGUUUUGUGGGGAGAUCUCUCAUUAACACACAAUCUGCAAGUGUGCCCAUUUCUCAGUGUUCUCUUAAACUGUCAUCUGUCGUUCCAAAGCUCCGACCACCAUGAAACAGUUUCCUCAACCGCUCUGUUUCCUUUGGAUCAUGGCCCUCCUCCCGCCGGCGGCCAUGGCGAUGGCCAGUCAGCGGUUUUACCUCCACUUUGAGACCGGACUCGCCUCUUCCAACUCGA